UGUGCUGUCAGCAUCGGAUGUGCAUUUAUGUCCACUCAGUACUCCCUGCUGCUUUAAAACCUCCAUGCCAAGUCUGGUCUACUGUGUUCAAGUUCAUGUUUUUACACGUAGAUGGAGCCUUCACCAAAGCACAUGUGCUGCUGAAAGAGCACCCAGCCUCUCCUCAUGUGUGAUCCACACUGCAAGCCUCAGACAGGUGCCUGAGCUGUCAAGAGAUCAACGACUUGCCUGAAAGAUGGAGAUUGAAUCCCAGCAUGAGAUUUCUAGGGAACUAGAUGUCUGAAAUCCUGCAGGAUCUUUUAGUUACAAAUUCUCACAGAUGUGAUCUCUUCAGGACACUAUUUGUGGGC